rnacentral:rRNA from 1 species
UACAGAGGGUGCGAGCGUUGUUCGGAAUUAUUGGGCGUAAAGGGCGCGUAGGCGGUGCGGUAAGUCACCUGUGAAAUCUCCUGGCUCAACUGGGAGCUUGCAGGCGAAACUGCCGUGCUGGAGUGUGGGAGAGGUGCGUGGAAUUCCUGGUGUAGCGGUGAAAUGCGUAGAUAUCAGGAGGAACACCAAUAGCGAAGGCAGCUCGCUGGGACGUUACUGACACUGAGGCGCGAAAGCGUGGGGAGCAAACAGG